AUGAGGGGUCGGAAGGGAUGCCAACUGCUUGCUCGGAGUUGCUGCAGAUUCGUCAGAGGUAUUGACCGUGAAUCUGGUAUGAUCGGAAGCAUGCUGAGUGAGUUGUGCGACUGGAAAGCAGCAGUUUUGGCUUGCAGUGGUGCGAUUGUUUCGAGAUCUGAUUUGUGGAGUCCCUCUUUUUCUUCUUCUAACUUUUGCUUUGAUGUUUUUGAAAUCAAGUUGUUGUGGUGGUUGUUCAUGAAUAUUGAUUGGCUUUUGUUUUCUGCAUAUUUUCCAGACCUAUCUCCUUCUACGUAUUUGCUUUUUCUUUUAUAUUGUUUUGGGGAUGAUGUUGUUUGA